GAUGAAGAACGCAGCAAAACGCGAUAAGUAAUGUGAAUUGCAGAAUUCAGUGAAUCAUCGAAUCUUUGAACGCACAUUGCGCCCGCCAGUAUUCUGGCGGGCAUGCCUGUUCGAGCGUCAUUUCAACCCUCAAGCACAGCUUGGUGUUGGGACUCGCGUUAAUUCGCGUUCCCCAAAUUGAUUGGCGGUCACGUCGAGCUUCCAUAGCGUAGUAGUAAAACCCUCGUUACUGGUAAUCGUCGCGGCCACGCCGUUAAACCCCAACUUCUGAAUGUUGACCUCGGAUCAGGUAGGAAUACCCGCUGAACUUAAGCAUAUCAAUAAGCGGAGGA
rnacentral:misc_RNA from 1 species